AGAGUUUGAUCCUGGCUCAGGACGAACGCUGGCGGCGUGCUUAACACAUGCAAGUCGAACGGAGAUUAUAGCAAUGUAAUCUUAGUGGCGGACGGGUGAGUAACGCGUGGGCAACUUGCCUUGGACAGGGGGAUAACACAGGGAAACUUGUGCUAAUACCGCAUAACAUCACGAGAGGACAUCUUCUUGUGAUCAAAGGA
rnacentral:rRNA from 1 species